AUAAGUCUCUGGUGUGCUUUGUUCUCUACAUUGACACUCUCGUUUCUCUCAGUAGCUUUGUAGAAUUUUCGUUCAAAUCCUGAAUUUGCAGAAGAAUCCAACCACGUUUCUCUCUUUCUCUUCAGGUUUUUCAGGAAACUUGGAAAGUGUGGAGAAUUGAUGUGUAUUUGCAAUCUUAAAUCAAACGAUGUUGGGACGAACCCCUGAAAAAUCUCUGUAGGAGAGCAGGUGCGCAUUACCGCCAUUCAUGCAAUCGAAAAUGACGUUGUCGCAGGUUCUCUCUGUAGCUUAAGGCUAAUUUCACACAGGUCAAGGAUAAAACUGUUGAGUCAAUAGGUGAUACUGAAGAGCUAAACACAAGGUAGAAUUGGAUCUUUGUGCAUAAAAAAAUGCCGAUCAGUUCCAUGAUCUUGGACUUCUCCAAAGGGCUGGAAGAAAACUAGCACUAGUAGUUUGGAAUCCAUUACAUGAACAUAUGGAGACACUGAAUGAGUAAAUGUUUUACUCAGAUGCUCAACACUAAUAGAUGCUCAACAAGCAUGAAAGAAUUGAUAGACAAUUGGAGUAACUUGUAUAUUGUUUCCAUGAAAACUAUGUUAGGCUUGGUAAUGCCCUUAUCUGAUGCUAUACAUAUGCUGAUUGAAAUAAUGCAUACAUACAAUUACCUUUCCGUUGUUA